AUUGAACGCUGGCGGCAGGCCUAACACAUGCAAGUCGAACGAGUGGCGGACGGGUGAGUAAUGUCUGGGAAACUGCCUGAUUGAGGGGGAUAACUACUGGAAACGUUAGCUAAUACCGCAUACUAUCAGAUGUGCCCAUAUGGGAUUAGCUAGUUGGUGGGGUAACGGCUCACCAAGGCGACGAUCCCUAGCUGGUCUGAGAGGAUGACCAGACGCACUGAGACGGAGACACGAACCAGACUCCUACGGAAGGCAGCAGUGGGGAAUAUUGCACAAGGGGCGCAAGCAUGAUGCAGCCAUGCCGCGUGUAUGAAGAAGGCCUUCGGGUUGUAAAGGACUUUCAGCGGGAAGGCGUUACCCGCAGAAGAAGCACCGGCUAACUCCGUGCCAGCAGCCGCGGUAAUAC
rnacentral:rRNA from 1 species